AUACACCUGACGAGUCCCAAAUAGGAUGAAGUGUGCGUCAUGGAU
rfam:Schistosoma mansoni strain Puerto Rico chromosome 2, complete genome